rnacentral:lncRNA from 10 species
UUCUGCACAUACCUGGAGUGGCUGCCUGCCCUGGCUCCUCGGUACAGGAAAGGGGAAGGGUGGAGAGUGAAAGGAGCCCAGGCUGACCCAACCAGGACCGCCUUCUCCCUCAGACCGAGUAGUGCAGACCCCAGGGCCUCCACCUUCAGACCCAGGAGUUCAGAUCCCCAGCGCCCUCCUCCCUCAGACCCAGGAGUAGUCCAGGCCCCCAGCGCCCUCCUCUCUCAGACCCAGAAGUCCAGGCCCCCAGCACCCUUCUCCCUCAGACCCAGGAGGAGUCCAGGCCCAGGCCCCCAGCACCCUUCUCCCUCAGACCCUGGAGUCCAGGUCCCCAGCGCCCUCCUCCUUCAGACCCAGGAGUCCAUGCCCCCAGCGCCCUUCUCCCUCAGACCCAGGAAUCCAGGCCCCCAGUGCCCUCCUCUCUCAGACCCAGGAGUUCUGGAAUUCAGGCCCCUCCUUCUCGGAUACUAAGAAAUGCAGACUCCGGGUUCCUCAUCCUCCAGAUUUGGGUUGGGGGUUCCGGACUCCGAGACCCCUCAGGGGAAACCGGCUGCAUAUCUGGGACACUUCCCUCUUGCCUCAGUUUCCUCCGCCAAGC